rnacentral:lncRNA from 1 species
CAAAUGCAAUACAACCAGAAGAGCUGUAUGACAGCAAGAAAAACUAUUCUGCCAGUCCUGUUGUGGGAGAAUGUGAGAAUACUUUUUUAUAUCCAUUUCACAGACAGAUUUGAGCAUCCAGUCACAGAAUGGUUGAAG